rnacentral:rRNA from 1 species
GAUGAACGCUGGCGGCGUGCCUAAUACAUGCAAGUCGAACGAAACUUCUUUAUCACCGAGUGCUUGCACUCACCGAUAAAGAGUUGAGUGGCGAACGGGUGAGUAACACGUGGGCAGCCUGCCCAAAAGAGGGGGAUAACACUUGGAAACAGGUGCUAAUACCGCAUAACCAUAGUUACCGCAUGGAAACUAUGUAAAAGGUGGCUAUACUACCGCUUUUGGAUGGGCCCGCGGCGCAUUAGCUAGUUGGUAGGGUAAAGGCUUACCAAGGCAAUGAUGCGUAGCCGAAUUGAGAGGUUGAUCGGCCACAUUGGGACUGAGACACGGCCCAAACUCCUACGGGAGGCAGCAGUAGGGAAUCUUCCACAAUGGGCGAAAGCCUGAUGGAGCAACGCCGCGUGGGUGAAGAAGGUCUUCGGAUCGUAAAACCCUGUUGUUAGAGAAGAAAGUGCGUGAGAGUAACUGUUCACGUUUCGACGGUAUCUAACCAGAAAGCCACGGCUAACUACGUG